AGUAGCUUGCUACUUAACUUAGCGGCGGACGGGUGAGUAAUACUUAGGAAUCUGCCUAUUAGUGGGGGACAACAUUUCGAAAGGAAUGCUAAUACCGCAUACGUCCUACGGGAGAAAGCAGGGGAUCACUUGUGACCUUGCGCUAAUAGAUGAGCCUAAGUCGGAUUAGCUAGUUGGUGGGGUAAAGGCCUACCAAGGCGACGAUCUGUAGCGGGUCUGAGAGGAUGAUCCGCCACACUGGGACUGAGACACGGCCCAGACUCCUACGGGAGGCAGCAGUGGGGAAUAUUGGACAAUGGGGGGAACCCUGAUCCAGCCAUGCCGCGUGUGUGAAGAAGGCCUUUUGGUUGUAAAGCACUUUAAGCGAGGAGGAGGCUACUCUAGUUAAUACCUAGAGAUAGUGGACGUUACUCGCAGAAUAAGCACCGGCUAACUCUGUGCCAGCAGCCGCGGUAAUACAGAGGGUGCGAGCGUUAAUCGGAUUUACUGGGCGUAAAGCGUGCGUAGGUGGCCAAUUAAGUCAAAUGUGAAAUCCCCGAGCUUAACUUGGGAAUUGCAUUCGAUACUGGUUGGCUAGAGUAUGGGAGAGGAUGGUAGAAUUCCAGGUGUAGCGGUGAAAUGCGUAGAGAUCUGGAGGAAUACCGAUGGCGAAAGCAGCCAUCUGGCCUAAUACUGACACUGAGGUACGAAAGCAU
rnacentral:rRNA from 1 species